AACUGACGAGUGUUGAGUAGGAAGAAAACGAUAACAAGAUACAAAGGCGACUUCACUGACAACCUGUUAGCUUUGCAGUUUGCAGACGAACGAUACAAUAUUGCGUAAUGGCGUAUUGAAGGCUUGAAGUAAGAAGGUUGGAGAAUUAUUAAUAAUUAAAAGUUUUAAAUUGGUAAUAGAUGAUAAGCCAAACACGAUAUUGAAUUUCAGCAAAUUUGAAUCGUUGGAAAUUCGUUGACUAUAUCUGACAGGUGAUAUCAUGGAGUUUUCUGUCAUUUCAAUAUUUGCUAUAGAAAUUUAAUCGCCAGGAAGUGCAUGUUCAAGAAUGUGUGACUUUUAAGGCACUUCCUGGUUUGUUUUGCUCUAUGCAUUCAGAGAGGAAACCAGCCAUUGUAAGGGAAGUAGAAGUGAACUAUCUGAAUGGGCCCAGUCAGGUGAAGCCACUGCGGAAACUAACACUAAGGAUGUCCAAAAUCUUGUCAGGCCAAAUAGUUUCCCAGAAUCAUAUGGCAGAAGCAAGGAAACUAGCAAUCGUGAGGCAAACAUUAUCUGAAGUUGGCCUGUCAUGUAAAGAAACAACCAAUACUAUUAUUAAUGACAUAAAACAAUUGGUUAUUCAACAAAAUGGUAUUAUAGGACAGAAUGACAGGUCCCGUCUUGACCUGGAACUAUUUGGAAUAGCUAUACCAUGGACAACUUUUUAUGGCUGUGUCUUUUAUGUUCCAGAUUGUGAUUGCCCUAAUAGCUCAAGUGAACUUUAUCUAUGUAAGCUAGACAUAAGGUUGUAUGGAGGAAAAGUUGUAGAACAAUUAAGUGAAAGUGUUUCCCAUGUACUCGUGUGUGGAUCUUGUGAUAACCGACAUCUUAGCUCGUCAAAUGAAACUAAACAAAAGUUUGUAACUAAACAAUAGAUCGAAAAGUGCAUUGAAAGCAGAGUCUUGCUCAAAAAUAUGUAUUUCGAUUCUUUGUAAUUGUCUGAUGGACAACCGUGCUGUGUUAUGAAACUUGAAUAAAAGGAGGUGAAAUCUCAUAAA